rnacentral:rRNA from 1 species
GAUGAACGCUGGCGGCGUGCUUAACACAUGCAAGUCGAACGGUGAAGCAGGAGCUUGCUCCUGUGGAUCAGUGGCGAACGGGUGAGUAACACGUGAGCAAUCUGCCCUGGACUCUGGGAUAAGCGUUGGAAACGACGUCUAAUACCGGAUACGAGGCGUGGGGGCAUCCCCAACGCCUGGAAAGAACUUCGGUCCAGGAUGAGCUCGCGGCCUAUCAGGUAGUUGGUGAGGUAACGGCUCACCAAGCCUACGACGGGUAGCCGGCCUGAGAGGGGAACCGGCCACACUGGGACUGAGACACGGCCCAGACUCCUACGGGAGGCAGCAGUGGGGAAUAUUGCACAAUGGGCGCAAGCCUGAUGCAGCAACGCCGCGUGAGGGACGACGGCCUUCGGGUUGUAAACCUCUUUUAGCAGGGAAGAAGCGAAAGUGACGGUACCUGCAGAAAAAGCACCGGCUAACUACGUGCCAGCAGCCGCGGUAAAAC